GUGGGUAACGUACCCCCCGGACCGGGAUAGCCACGGGAAACUGUGGGUAAUACCGGGCGACGUGGCGGAGUCGCAUGGCUCUGCUACCAAAGGUCCGCCGCCGGGGGAGCGGCUCACGUGCUAUUAGCUUGUUGGCGGGGUAACGGCCCACCAAGGCAAAGAUGGCUAGCGGGUGUGAGAGCAUGACCCGCGCCACUGGCACUGAGACACUGGCCAGACACCUACGGGUGGCUGCAGUCGAGGAUCUUCGGCAAUGGGCGCAAGCCUGACCGAGCGACGCCGCGUGCGGGAUGAAGGCCUUCGGGUUGUAAACCGCUGUCGAGGGGGAGGAAGCCGCAAGGUUGACCUAUCCCUGGAGGAAGCACGGGCUAAGUUCGUGCCAGCAGCCGCGGUAAGACGAACCGUGCGAACGUUGUUCGGAAUCACUGGGCUUAAAGGGCGCGUAGGCGGGUCAGCCAGUCCGGGGUGAAAUCCUUCGGCUUAACCGGAGAACUGCCUCGGAGACGACUGAUCUGGAGGGAGGUAGGGGUCGCUGGAACU
rnacentral:rRNA from 1 species